rnacentral:rRNA from 1 species
GGGGGGCUCGAGUUCUAAAGAUCCCAAACCAUUGUGAACGUACCCGUCAGCGUUGCCUCGGCGGGCGGCCCCUCCCUGGGGCCGCUGCCUCCCUCGGGGGGUGCCCGCCGGCGUACCAAAACUCUUUUGUAUUUUAGUGGCCUCUCUGAGAAAACAAGCAAAUAAGUUAAAACUUUCAACAACGGAUCUCUUGGUUCUGGCAUCGAUGAAGAACGCAGCGAAAUGCGAUAAGUAAUGUGAAUUGCAGAAUUCAGUGAAUCAUCGAAUCUUUGAACGCACAUUGCGCCCGCCAGUACUCUGGCGGGCAUGCCUGUUCGAGCGUCAUUUCAACCCUCAAGCCCUGCUUGGUGUUGGGGUCCUACGGCUGCCGUAGGCCCUGAAAGCUAGUGGCGGGCUCGCUAUAACUCCGAGCGUAGUAGUAAAAUAUCUCGCUAGGGAGGUGUCGCGGGUUCCGGCCGUGAAAGCCCAUCUUUUACACAAGGUUGACCUCGGAUCAGGUAGGAAUACCCGCUGAACUUAAGCAUAUCAAAA